rnacentral:rRNA from 1 species
GACGAACGCUGGCGGCGUGCUUAACACAUGCAAGUCGAACGGGUCUGCCCUGUUUUUUGCGGGGUGGGUCAGUGGCGAACGGGUGAGUAACACGUGAGUAACCUGCCCCUCACUUCUGGAUAACCGCUUGAAAGGGUGGCUAAUACGGGGUGUUCUGGCUGUGCCGCAUGGUGUGGCUGGGAAAGAUUCACUUUUGUGGUGUUUUGGUGGGGGAUGGGCUCGCGGCCUAUCAGCUUGUUGGUGGGGUGAUGGCCUGCCAAGGCUUUGACGGGUAGCCGGCCUGGGAGGGUGGGCGGUCACACUGGGACUGAGAUACGGCCCAGACUCCUGCGGGAGGCAGCAGUGGGGGGUAUUGCACAAUGGGCGGAAGCCUGAUGCAGCGACGUCGCGGGAGGGAUGGAGGCCUGCGGGUUGUGAACCUUUUUCGCCGGUGAAGAAGGUCCUGCUCUUUGGGGUGGGGUUGACGGUAGCCGGGUUAUGAAGCGCCGGCUAACUACGUG